ensembl:piRNA 21ur-1969 ncRNA
UGCUUUGUUGAUGUUCUGAAC